rnacentral:lncRNA from 1 species
GGGAGAUCAAGGCUGCAGUGAACAGUGAUCAUGCCACUGCAGUCCAGCCUUGGCAACACAACGCGAUCCCAUCUCAAAAAUAAAAUAAAAUAAAAUAAAAUAGAAAUAGCCCUAUUAGAUUUUAGUAUUACUUAACUACAUGUCCAUAAUAGUGAAUUUUGAAAGCAUGAAAAGUAAAUUUUAAAAUCGAAUUUUAGUUCUAAAGGGGAGGCAUGAGAAUGGGAUGAAGUAUAAUCAAAGGUCCAUAUGAUUUCAAAUUAAAAAGCAGAUAUAGAGAUACAAUUAUUUUCUUGUUAAAUGUGUCCAACCUAGUUCCUUCAAGGGAACUACACACACGGUGGGAGUCUGAGAGUUAGAAAACACUGUUCAUAAAUCGAGAGCUACUGUGUGACUCUGCUCUUUUCUUCUGCCAAAAAAUAAAUAAAUAAAUAAAUAAAUAAAUAAAUAAAUAAAUAGAGGGCAAUUAUGUAUUCAUGAUGCAGGUUUGCCUAAAUAGCUGUCCCCAGCUAUUUAGGCAUAACCUCAAGCUACAUAUUCAUAACCUCCAACACCUCAUGUAGAUAUCCCUACAAGCAGUAUAGUAUAGUGGUGUUUUUUAAAGUGUAGUCAACUAUUUUCUUUCAGAUUCUAAGAGAACAUCUUGCACUUGUAGAUUCUUGAGUUUCACCCCAAUCCUGAUUUGAUUGGUCCUCAAUUGAUUCUUAUGCAUUUUGAAGAUUGAGACCUUAAGUUUCAAAAAUUGAGACCUAGAUUCUGAUACAUAAGGAUUUAAGUUUAAGUACCUGCUUGAUUGCUAGUAAGACUGUGCACGUUUGCACCAACUAAUCGACGUCUUUGAGCCUCUGUUUGCCCAUCUGAAAAUGCACAUCAGUGGAUUGCUAUGAGGAUAAAAAGAAGCUGUGUUUCUAAACCUCCUUUCAUACUAGGUGGUAUUGUUUAGUUUUUAAUCACAGUGCAUGUAGCUAUGACUACAGUCUUAGCCAAACCAAAUAACGAAUGGAAAGUGGAAUUAUCUUAUGUAGAUUAAUAUCAUCUUUCAAGUGUAGACCCAAAUGGGGAGAGAGUUAACUGGCAUUUUUUUCCCCCGCCAUUAAUUAUAAAAUUGGCAAUUUCCCAGACUUGUUUCAGAAUUCUGUUUUAGCAUCUAAUUGCCUUGACCUUUUGUCUUCAGACACCCUUUGGAAUGAAGCCAAAGUGUUUUAACACAAAAGGAAAAACAAUCCAGUGUGGGUGAUGUCACAGGGCAUCCUGAGGAAAGCAGCAAGCAUGAAGCUUCCUACUGCGUGGAUCCAAAGUACACAGGAUUAUCUUGGCAUUAAUUCCUUCUGCAGCCAGAAGCUGGACUCUUACUGAAGAACUAGCUCUCAUCAUAAAGACUGGAUGCCGGAAAUGAGUUUGUGUGUGUGUGUGUGUGUGCGCGCACGAAGUGUGUAGGUGUGUAAGUCUGGUUCCUGACCUGAGAGAGAUCAACAUUCCAGUCUCCUCGUAGGCUCUAGGUUGUCUGUGAAAUCACUGUGAAGGACCAAAGGCUGUUUUCACUGGGUAGACAGAAAAUCGUCCUGUUCACUUCAAGGACACUAUCAAGCUGUGAUCAGAACAUUUGCCUUUUAAUAUAAUAAUGGUGAUUAUUAGAUAUGGGAAGGAUAGGGGUACAGAAGAGUGACCCAAAACAAAAAAACCCUUUAUGUCAGUGGCAGCCCUGCAUUAAUGAAAUGAAGAGACAUUCACACCAUAACAGGUGACGAUGGAGAGUCUGUUUGUCAUGUCAAAUUAGAGAUAAAAGAAUGCCUGAGACUGGGAAGCAGAAAAGCACAUUUCCAUCUUCGUGUCUGGAGAAACUUUACAGGAUUAAAGUAUGUAUUGUCAUCACAAUGGAGAACUGUUUAAGUAGAAGCAGUGCCUUCCCCUUUGAAGAGGGUAUAUCUCCUGACAUUGUAGGUGCAGAUGGCCAGGUUUCUGGGUCUUUUAGCCUUGGGAGAUCCUUGCUGAUGGAAUACAGCUUUCACAGCUCCAUGCUAGCAGAUUGUGGGGCUGGGAGCUGAGAGGAUCAUCCCAGUGGCAGGGAGCAGUUAUUUAGGGAGAAGAUAGUAAAUCUUCAACUAAGUAUUAUUAGAUCUGACACAUGUGGAUUCAAAGGCAAUGUAGUGGCCAGACUUCUAAGGUCGAAAGCCAAGAGUUUAGGAUUGCCCACUGGAGUGUGGCAUUUUCUGUUCUUGGGACGCAUCCAGCUAUGACUGUGAAAGGACGGAAAUUCAGUUGAGCUGC